rnacentral:rRNA from 1 species
CAGCUAGCUUACCCACCAACAUAACCAAAUGAUAUAAAUAAAAUAGAAUAGACCAAAUACCAAAAACUAAACCAUUCUUUUACCUGAGUAUGGGAGACAGAAAAGGUUCAACCAAAGCAAUAGAAAUAGUACCGCAAGGGAAAGCUGAAAGAGAAAUGAAAUAACCCAUAUAAGUAUUAAAAAGCAAAGACUAGACCUUGUACCUUUUGCAUCAUGAUUUAGCUAGUAAACACAAGCAAAGAGACCUUUAGUUUGAAACCCCGAAACCAGGUGAGCUACCCCGAGACAGCCUAUUAAGGGCCAACCCGUCUCUGUGGCAAAAGAGUGGGAAGAGCUCCGGGUAGAAGUGACAGACCUACCGAACCUGGUGAUAGCUGGUUGCCUAAGAAAUGAAUAGAAGUUCAGCCUCGUGCGCCUCAGAUCAAACAAGCACUAAUCAAGACACUAGGAGAAAGGCACGAGAGUUAGUUAAAGGGGGUACAGCCCCUUUAACAAAGGAUACAACCUUAUUCAGGAGGAUAAAGAUCAUAAUAUAUAAAACAUACUGUUCUAGUGGGCCUAAAAGCAGCCACCUAAGCAGAAAGCGUUAAAGCUCAGACAGAAGGAAGUUUAUUAUUCUGAUAAAAAAUCUUACUCCCCUAAAUACUAUUAGGCUAAUCCAUGCACCCAUGGAAGUAAUUAUGCUAAAAUGAGUAACAAGAAGGCCCGCCCUUCUCCGAGCACAAGUGUAAGCCAAACCGGACCGACCAUUGGCAACUAACGAACUCAACCCAAGAGAGCAAUGUGAACCAUAAAGAAAACAAGAAAAACCCACAACUCAACAAUCGUUAACCCCACACUGGAGUGCUAUCAAAGGAAAGACUAAAAGAAAAGGAAGGAACUCGGCAAACACAAGCCUCGCCUGUUUACCAAAAACAUCGCCUCCUGCAACGCAGCCAUGUAUAGGAGGUCCAGCCUGCCCAGUGACUACAAGUUCAACGGCCGCGGUAUUUUGACCGUGCAAAGGUAGCGCAAUCACUUGUCUUUUAAAUAGAGACCUGUAUGAAUGGCUAAACGAGGGCUUAACUGUCUCCCUUUUCAAGUCAGUGAAAUUGAUCUGCCCGUGCAGAAGCG